rfam:Daphnia pulex DAPPTscaffold_335_Cont8827, whole genome shotgun sequence.
GGCUCAUUGGUCUAGUGGUAUGAUUCUUGCUUUGGGUGUAGUAGGCCCCGGGUUCAAAUCCCGGAUGAGUCC